rnacentral:rRNA from 1 species
UACGUAGGGGGCAAGCGUUGUCCGGAUUUACUGGGCGUAAAGAGCGCGCAGGCGGUCGUUCAAGUCGCGUGUGAAAGCCCCCGGCUCAACCGGGGAGGGUGGUGCCGAACUGCGCUUCUUGAGGGCGAUAGAGGAGAGUGGAAUUCCGGGUGUAGCGGUGAAAUGCGUAGAGAUCCGGAGGAACACCAGUGGCGCAGGCGGCUCUCUGGGUCGGCCCUGACGCUGAGGCGCGAAAGCGUGGGGAGCGAACGGG